GUUAAAUUGUGAUUUUAAUGAAUGGAGCGAAUUUGGAGCAGCAGUUCUUUUCCUGUGAGCUUUGAGGGGUUUUUAGCGGAAGUGGUUGGAAAGGAAAUUGAGUGCAGAGCGGGGCAAGUACAGCUCCAUGAGCAAUGAGUGGGAUUUCCAACCGCUCAACUCUGCUCACAUCCUCUGAAUGGGACACGUUUGAAUACAGACAAAAGCCUCUCAUUUUAAUAUGUGUCCGCAGUGGUUCUGUGUAGCCUAGUUAUGCUAUUAUAUUUGAGACCAGUGUAUUGCAGUGAAUUUCAUCUGACUUAAUAAGUAAAAUAUCUUUGCGUAGUAAACAGAGUAACAAUGAGUCCCAGGCAGUUCGCAAUACCAGAGGGGGGCAUCGUUUACUAGGCUACCUAAAUUAUUGGGAUCAUCUGGGUUACCACCAGUGUUUGGAAUACAUUGAGCUCGUCAACAAAACAGACCAUGGGACGCCUACCGAGGGAAGGCUAUUAGAAGGGGCCUGGCAGAAAAUGCUGCAUCUUCAGUCAUAUUCAAUUAGAUUACAGGAAAAAACUAUGGGAUGAAGGGGUCAGGCCUGACUAACAAAGAAGACAGGAGGAUGGAUCAAGAGGACCAAGACAACCAAGAGGAUCAACAUGGACAUUCCACAGUGGAGAUAAGGAAAACUAAGAGUGCACCGUUAAAAAAUGUGGGGUCACUUAGAAAUGUCCUUGUUUUGGAAAAAAAAGCACAUUUUCUGUCCAUUAAAAUAACAUCAAAUUGAUCAGAAAUACAGUGUAGACAUUGUUAAUGUUGUAAAUGACUAUUGUAGCUGGAAAUGGCAGAUUUUUUUAAUGUAAUAUCUACAUAGGCGUACAGAGGCCCAUUAUCAGCAACCAUCACUCCUGUGUUCCAAUGGCACAUUUUGUUAGUUAAUCCAAGUUGAUCAUUUAGCACUUUGUGACAUCAGCUGAUGUAAGAAGGGCUUUAUAAAUACAUUUGAUUGACUGACUAGUUGAGUAUCUGGAGCAUCAGCAUUUGUGGAUUUGAGUAUAGGCUCAAAAUGGCCAGAGUUUCUUCUGAAACUCGUCAGUCUAUUCUUGUUCUGAGAAAUGAAGGCUAUUCAAUGCAAGAAAUUGCCAAGAAACUGAAGAUCUCGUACAACGCUGUGUACUACUCCCUUCACAAGACAGCGCAAACUGUCUCUAACCAGAAAGAGGAGUGGGAGGCCCCGGUGCACAACUGAGCAAGAGGACAAGUACAUUAGAGUGUCUAGUUUGAGAAACCGACGCCUCACAAGUCCUCAACUGGCAACUUCAUUAAAUAGUACCUGCAAAACACCAGUCUCAACGUCAACAGUGAAGAGACGUCUCCGGGAUGCUGGCCUUCUAGGCAGAGUUUCAAAGAAAAGCCAGUGGAUGAAGAUCCUGAAAAAAAAUAUCAACUGGCCCAAAUCAGCUCUACAUAAUUCAGCAGGGAGGUGUGCAACUACCACACAUUAUACAGUGGAGAAACUACAUCACCUACGAAGUGGCCUUCAAAAUUCAACAUUAGCCAUGGUGACAAUCCAGGAUGACUUCUGCCGUGCUCAAAACAACUGGAAACUCGGAACUGGGAAAUCAGACUUCAGUGAGUUCAAGACAUCUGGGACCUCUGAAAAAAAGAGCUCCGACUGGGAAAAUACGUUUUGAACGGUCAUCUGACUCGGAAUUGCAAGUCGGGAACUCUUGCCUCUUUCUAGAGCUCUGACCUGAAGAUCACUUAUGUCAUCAUGAUUCAACAUAGUUUUUUUCCGAGUUCCUAGUUGUCUUGAAAGCGCCAUAAAUCCAGAGAAUGCCAGACUUUGAUGACCAGUAGUUCAUUGUUCAGGGAAAAGUUAUAGGGAAAAUGGUGACCUAGAACUUUUAAGUGUGUGCCCUCAGGCCACUACUCUACUAUCACAUAUCUACAACACAUAAUCCAUGUGUAUUUUUGUGUCUG
rnacentral:lncRNA from 1 species